UUGCAGAAUUCCGCGAAUCAUCGAGUCUUUGAACGCAAGUUGCGCCCGAGGCUUGUCCAAGGGCAUUUCCGCUAGAGCGUCACC
rnacentral:rRNA from 2 species